rnacentral:rRNA from 1 species
AGCAGCCGCGGUAAUUCCAGCUCCAAUAGCGUAUAUUAAAGUUGCUGCAGUUAAAAAGCUCGUAGUUGAAUUUCGGGACCAUCAUGUCGGUCGUGCCUCGGUACGUACUGGCAUUGUUGGUUUCUACCUUCUGACGAACCAUGAUGUCAUUUAUUUGGUGUCGUGGGAAAUCAGGACUGUUACUUUGAAAAAAUUAGAGUGUUUAAAGCAGGCUCACGCUUGAAUACAUUAGCAUGGAAUAAUGAAAUAGGACGUUUGAUUCUAUUUUGUUGGUUUCUAGGAUCGACGUAAUGAUUAAUAGGGAUAGUUGGGGGCAUUAGUAUUCAAUUGUCAGAGGUGAAAUUCUUGGAUUUAUUGAAGACUAACUACUGCGAAAGCAUUUGCCAAGGAUGUUUUCAUUAAUCAAGAACGAAAGUUAGGGGAUCGAAGACGAUCAGAUACCGUCGUAGUCUUAACCAUAAACUAUGCCGACUAGGAUCGGAUGAUGUUAUUUUAAUGUACUCAUUCGGCG